rnacentral:rRNA from 1 species
CCUACGAGCGGCUGCAGUGGGGAAUAUUGGACAAUGGGGGGAACCCUGAUCCAGCCAUGCCGCGUGUGUGAAGAAGGCCCUCGGGUUGUAAAGCACUUUCAGUGAGGAAGAACGCCUGGUGGUUAAUACCCAUCAGGAAAGACAUCACUCACAGAAGAAGCACCGGCUAACUCCGUGCCAGCAGCCGCGGUAAUACGGAGGGUGCGAGCGUUAAUCGGAAUUACUGGGCGUAAAGCGCGCGUAGGUGGCUUGAUAAGCCGGUUGUGAAAGCCCCGGGCUCAACCUGGGAACGGCAUCCGGAACUGUCAAGCUAGAGUGCAGGAGAGGAAGGUAGAAUUCCCGGUGUAGCGGUGAAAUGCGUAGAGAUCGGGAGGAAUACCAGUGGCGAAGGCGGCCUUCUGGACUGACACUGACACUGAGGUGCGAAAGCGUGGGUAGCAAACAGGAUUAGAUACCCUGGUAGUC